rnacentral:rRNA from 1 species
CCCUUAGAUGUUCUGGGCUGCACGCGCGCUACACUGAUGCGCACAACGAGUUCUCACCUUGCUCGACAGAGUUGGGAAAACUUCUAUGCGCAUCGUGCUGGGGAUAGAGCAUUGCAAUUCUUGCUCUUCAACGAGGAAUUCCUAGUAAGUGCAAGUCAUCAACUUGCGCUGAUUACGUCCCUGCCCUUUGUACACACCGCCCGUCGCUCCUACCGAUUGAAUGGUCCGGUGAAGCGUUCGGACCGUGGCCUUUGGACGGUUCGCCGUCUGUUGGCUGCGGGAAGUUCGUUAAACCUUAUCAUUUAGAGGAAGGAGAAGUCGUAACA